AUGAAGAAUGAUAGAUCGGAAGAAGAAGGAAGCAUCAUUAUGUACAUCAAAAGAAGAGAUGAUGGCUUUGAGAUUGAAACAAUGUUGCAGUACGAGGAUCGGAUGGUCGAGUUUGAAAGUAAAUUGAAGUAUCAUUCUCCAGAAGCAAAAAUGGUCAACAUUUUGAUUUCAUCCACACACCCAGACUACAAACGGUUGCAAGUUGACGGUUUACUUUUGGCAAAGCAUUUCGGACAGUUCAUCAUGACAGUCAAAGGAGGCGUCGAGUCAAAAUGGCUGGACACAACAUACAAUGCUCAUCUCAAAGUCUGGACCGAGCAAGAGAAAGGCAUCCUGCUGUCGUCAAUUGACUCCUCUCAGUUAUCGAGUAAUACACAGUUUGUUUGGAUCUGGAAGUCGGAAGCUUUCCAUACAAGUUUCAAUAGUUUCUUCCGAUAUAACGGUCUCACUCAACAGUUCUUGUCAAAGGUUUUCUUCUGGAAUCCAAAUGAAGAUUUCAAAAGUAUUUGCAUGGGAAGUCAAAUAAACAACAAUGAUAAUUGGGUGUUCACGGCUAAUGCGACAGUUUUAGCACCAUCCUCAACAAACUGCAGUUUCACAUCGUAUUUUCAACUGCCCGACAAUAGAGAAAUGCUUCACGUAAUGGUGGGCAAACUUCUCCUCCUGGACCAAUACAAUUUUAUCAACCACGCUCUUCAAUACUCAGUUUUCCCAAAUCAAGUCAAAUUUCGUACCUUCAGUGAGGUAAGUAGCAAUUUACAGUAAAACUUCGGUAACCCAACCUGAUUCGUGCCGGGGCUAAGCCAGAUGUGGAAUAGACGGAUUAUAAUAUACUGUUAUAUUAUAGUAGUAGAAUACAUGCACGGACUUUAUUUAGCUUGAAAUAUGCAGUCAAGGAUUUCAGUCAAGCCCCUCUUUGGGAUUUUUAGGACACACCACCUCUCUUUUUUGAAAAAAUUGGUCUCUUAAACUUUAGACCACUCGAAAAAAUAAAGUUUUUUUUAUAAC
rnacentral:lncRNA from 1 species